GCGACUUAAUUGUAAUAUUUGAAUGGUACUUACUUGAAAAAUAAUGUCUACUUUACAAAAUAUUUUUUUUGUGACAGUUUGUACGAUAUUGACCGUAAAUAUUUUAUUUAUUAUCGCGUCGAUUGUAUUUACUCUAUACUAUCAAGGAAAGGGUUCAGAAACAAAGGAUCUUCAACAUAAGAAGCCAAUAAACGAGAGUUCUAGACCUAGCCUCGUAUCGACUCUACCUCAGUUUAUAAUAUACAAGGCUUUCACCAGACAUAGCAGUGGCAGUAUAGUCUACGUUCAACAUGCUUAACUAGGCUUUUCAAAAUAAAGAAAUUGAAGUAUCUACACA